CACACCCCAGCCCGGGGCCUUUGCAAACAUCAUGGACACUUUAACCUUGUAGGACAUCCUAUCCCAAGCUGUGGAGCUUUGCAGGAUGAUCCUGGCUGGAAGCAGAAGCAGGUGGCUUCAUUGCGCCAGACAGCCCCACCGUAGCCUGGGCCCUGAGCUUCUGCCUACCAGGCUGUCAGCAACAUCUCAGCAACAGGCUCCAGCCAGUUGGCACAUACCUGGCUCAGCUCUACAGGUAGCAGUGAUGCUUUUAGGACCUCGUUUGUUAUUUUUCAGACCUAACCUCAUUGCUCUGCACUUCAGGGGCUGAAAUGCAACUCCCUGUGGGGCCCAAGGGGACUUUUGGCCUCUCUGCAGCCUGCUGGUCCCUGGAGGAUCUACCUCGUGCUGCUCACCCAAACCCUGCACGGCUGGCAAAUCCCUUCUGGGUUUUGUUUGAGGCACCAGAGGCUCCCCUGAGGCAUUGAAUUCUGAUUUUAUUGUUGCUGUUGCUGUUGAUGUUUGUGUCCAUACAUUUUGCAACUUCCCACAAACUUGUACAUCCAAAUGCUUUGCCCUGUUGUCCUUGUUAAAAGGAUAAUUUUUAAAAGGCACAGUCAUGAUUGUCAUAAAAUAUACAAUGAACACAUCAA
ensembl:lncRNA novel transcript